GUACACGCUGUGACUAGCAUAUCAAUAAGCGGAGGAAAAGAAACUAACAAGGAUUCCCCUAGUAACGGCGAGUGAAGCGGGAAGAGCUCAAAUUUGAAAUCCUAAAGGGUUUCCCUUUACGAAUUGUAGUUUAAAGAAGUGUUUUCUGUUGAGGUUUUGGUAAAAGUUCUUUAGAAUAGGACAUCAUAGAGGGUGAGAAUCCCGUAUUUGACCUUUACUUUCAACUUUGUGAUACACUUUCAAAGAGUCGGAUUGUUUGGGAAUGCAGUCCAAAAUGGGUGGUAAAUUUCAUCUAAAGCUAAAUAUUGGCGAGAGACCGAUAGCGAACAAGUACCGUGAGGGAAAGAUGAGAAGAACUUUGAAAAGAGAGUUAAACAGUACGUGAAAUUGUCAAAAGGGAAGCGUUUGACACCAGUGUUGUUUUUCUGAAAAUCAAUUAAAGAACUGUUUAUGCUAAGCUGUUUAGACUUUAUCAGCUAACUGUUUAGUUUUGAGCUUUUCUUUAAUGCACUUUUCAGUUAACAAGUCAACAUCAAUUUCUUUUGCUGUAAAAAAGCUUGAGGAAGGUGGCUUGAGAUUCGUCUUAAGUGUUUAUAGCCUCUUGCCUAUGCAGUCGGAGAGAUUGAGGUCUGCAGCGUAGAUCCUUCGGGGCUAAAUGCAUUUGUGCUAAGUUAUAGCAUUUUAUAGACAACUUGUUGACUAUGAUUUGUCUUGUAGCUUACUCGCUUAUGUUAUUUUACCUACGCUUAGGAUGUUGACAGCAGUAUAGACUGU
rnacentral:rRNA from 1 species